AUGGCGACCGGCGCACGGGUGAGUAACACGUAUCCAACCUGCCGAUAACUCGGGGAUAGCCUUUCGAAAGAAAGAUUAAUACCCGAUGGCAUAAUUAGACCGCAUGGUCUUAUUAUUAAAGAAUUUCGGUUAUCGAUGGGGAUGCGUUCCAUUAGGCAGUUGGUGAGGUAACGGCUCACCAAACCUUCGAUGGAUAGGGGUGCUGAGAGGAAGGUCCCCCACAUUGGAACUGAGACACGGUCCAA
rnacentral:rRNA from 1 species